AGGCCUGGGAGUUUUCACCGCAAACUCCGGAGAUGGUUUGGACGUGAACAUCUAAGGUAAAGGCCAGCAGCUGCUCUCCAGGAGGCACCAAGCAGCCAAGCCACUGACGUGACCUCACGCGCCAAGGUGGCCACCGUGCCAUCUGCAGCUGAGUGAGGACCCUCUCUGCAGCAAAGGCCUGUGGAACUCCCACAGGUCCUUAUGUCAGCUCAUGACCAUAGAGAAAUGCUACUGUUGGGACACAGGGCGGGGACCACAUCUCCCCAGGAGAGUUGGACAGUGAGCGACCCAGGCUCUGCAGCCCUGGUGCAACCCAAAGCAUCCCAAGGCCAGGAGCCCGUGUGGGCUGAGGGCUUCGGACAGUGAGUGGAGAUCCAUGGCAGUCUCCAGAAAAGGGGAGGGAAGCUUCAAGACAGGGGAGACCCUGCCCAGAAAAGCAUAAAACUCUCAAGACCACACACAGCCGGGCCCCUGGGUCUGUGGUGGGGCCAUGAUGACAAGGAAUUACAAGGCUGUGGUCACCACCACCUUCGCGACACCUGACAGCAGCGUGGUACCCACCUACUGUGUUUCUGAUGUGACCUGAUCAAACUUACAGGACAGAGUAAUGCACCAGCCAGCGCUAAAGAAUGCAAGUUCAACUGAAACUCCCUGCAGCCAUAUCCUGAGAAUGUGUAACACCUGCUCUGAGGUAUUUCAUUCAUUCUGUUCUGCUGGGAAGACCCACUCGCCAGCACCGCAUAGAUUCCGAGGGGCUGUGGCGUCAGCUAAGCAUCAAUGCUGGCAAGAAGGAAAUCAUGAGUGAGGAUGAGGACGCACGUGUCCAAAGAUGACGACUUCACAUCAGAUCCACCCAGGGCUUCUGAAGCACAACACGGCCAGGUCCUGAGCCAGACGCCUACUAUGGCACUCGCCCUGUGCUUGGAGGAACUUUCCGCAGCGUCCCUUGUCUCCAGCUCUAGGUGCUGGGAGCAUCCCUUCUCCCAGUUCUAAUCAGAAACCUCCCUGGAUGGUGCAAACAUCCCCUGGGGCACAUUCGCCCCAUGAGAAUCACCGAAUUGACUGAACAACUGGAGCCAUCCACAGACCCCAAACAUAAAUGCUGCCCAGGGCCAGGCGUCACGGGUCACAGAGGGUGUGGCCGGACAGGGAAGAGAUGCUCACUCCCACACGUCCUCAGCCUCCAACGGCUUCAGGACAGUGGCUGGAGCGACCCGGAGCCAUCCACGUCAAGUCGCCUCACGCCCUCAUUUCCCGAGUUUGUCACCAGCUCCUGUUCUAUGGCCAGAUGAACCCAGUUCAGACCCAAAUCCAAACCUUCUCAGGAUUCACCCUGUUUGGCUGUCAGUAAGCAGGGCUCUGGAGAAAACAGCUGCCAUGUUCACAUAUCGGUCCCUCUCCCUUCAGGGGUCCACAGAGGGAUCCCCGGCAGCUUUCUCGUCCCUGCCCCAGCUCCCUAGCAGCUGCAGCAUUCGCCAGGGUGACCUCGAUCAGCUCAGCCGGCGUCACUCACCCAUCACGAGACUAGAACCACAGCACUCCCAAGACAGCCUCAUUCCUCAGAGCUCAGGAUCAGAAGGGCAAUGAGGACACACACACACACACACACACACACUAACGUGGCUGUGUCUGACCAAAGGGAGGCUCAACUAACUACACACUCUAGUUCUCUAUUGUAAUCAGUUAACUUAAGGCCCAGGGCGGUGGCUCAUCCCU